GGAUUAGGGUUCGGUGUGACCUUUGGCCUCUUUCAGAACUUCGCUCUCCCUCUUUCAAGCGACGGCGGCGAGGUCCCCCCCUCGAUACUCCGACCAAGAUUCCAACGGCGCCAUCACCGUCCUCACCUAUCUUCUUUCGAACUCUCCGUCUCCGUCUCGUGAAACUACGACUUCCUCUGUUCUCUUUUCCGUUCAAGAUGCGUGACCGUUGUUGUGCUCUUCUGUUGAGAACGCGUUGUUGUUGUUCGCAGUGAAGGCAAUGAGGAAUUAUGGCUAUAGGAAGCGAUGAUGUUGAAUCGUGGUAGAGAAUUGAAGUCAAUUUCGAAGGUUUGCGAGAGAUGCUGCAGAAUUCCUGAUGAUAGAUGAUGAAGAUUGUGUGGCGCUCAGAGUUGAACCGUGGAGUGAUGACGAUUUGAGAUGUAGAUUUUUGAGAAGUUGUGGUGGUGGAUUGAAGGUUGUUGAAGUGCGAAGAUGAGGAGGUUGAUCGUGGAGAUGAAACGAUGAUGGUGAUGUUGCGGUUAAAGGAUGAAGAUGAUGAUUCGGAGAGAGUGGAGAGAAUUGGAUGAUGAAGAUGGUGGAGGAUUGAAGAAUGGAAGAGGAAGCCCUGAAUAAUUGUGGAGAUGUUGAAUAUAUAGUGUGUAUUGCUACUGUUGUGAAUAUAAACUUUACUGCUUCUGGAUGAUUAGGCUAUAUGAAUGCGGUAGGUUUCAAGUUGCCGAACCGGGCUUCUCAUGGCUUCUUUGCAGCAGGUGGAGUUAUGGUUGGAGGAUGGUGUUUGUGACGUGAAGACGGUUGGAGUAACAGGCUGCGACGGUCACCCUUGGAGCUUGACGAAAGUGGGACGGUUUGGAAGACAUGAUGUAAUAGGUUUAGGAUUUUUGUGUAAUUCACUUUUUGUGACAAAUUGUAUGGACAUGUAUUGUAAUGGAUUCGGUGAACACUAGAAUGAAGCCUCUUUUUUUUUUUGUAAUAUGGCUUGUAAUGGAAUUGUAAAACUUAAUGAGACGAACUCUAGUAUUUUUGUAGUUUUCAAUGGAA